GGCGGAAGCCUGAUGCAGCAACGCCGCGUGCGGGAUGACGGCCUUCGGGUUGUAAACCGCUUUCGCCUGUGACGAAGCGUGAGUGACGGUAAUGGGUAAAGAAGCACCGGCUAACUACGUGCCAGCAGCCGCGGUGAUACGUAGGGUGCGAGCGUUGUCCGGAUUUAUUGGGCGUAAAGGGCUCGUAGGUGGUUGAUCGCGUCGGAAGUGUAAUCUUGGGGCUUAACCCUGAGCGUGCUUUCGAUACGGGUUGACUUGAGGAAGGUAGGGGAGAAUGGAAUUCCUGGUGGAGCGGUGGAAUGCGCAGAUAUCAGGAGGAACACCAGUGGCGAAGGCGGUUCUCUGGGCCUUUCCUGACGCUGAGGAGCGAAAGCGUGGGGAGCGAACAGGCUUAGAUACCCUGGUAGUCCACGCUGUAAACGGUGGGUACUAGGUGUGGGGUCCAUUCCACGGGUUCCGUGCCGUAGCUAACGCUUUAAGUACCCCGCCUGG
rnacentral:rRNA from 1 species